CUCCUUUCAGUGACAAAGUCAAUGUAACCUCCAACCGGAGCAUCCAUCUAUGCUUUAUGAUCACAGCAUACGCAAUCAACUUUAGUGUAAGUAUAACCAAAUAAGAGGUCCGAACUAGCCUCUUACGUAUCUAACAAGUCAAGGGAGAAAUUUGCUAGGUUGCCACAUCAUAUAGGUAGUUUUAGGUUAACCUAUAAGGGCAGACAUCAAUAGAGAUGAUAAUGAUGCAUUUAGUAACAUUAUUGCACUAAUAGAAUAAAUCAAAUACAUGGGCAGUGUUCAUUGUAUGUGUAGAGAGAUUACAGAUUUCCAUUGGAAUAUGCAUCUGCUUAUGACGUAGCUGGAAUAUUAAAGUAUUUUAGAUAUCCUUCUCAUUUGUAGGAGGGUGUCCGAUUGCUAUAUCUGUUACUGACAUCCCUUGGAAUUUCUGUCCAGCCAGCUGAUUAUGGACCAGGAUGACAAGAUGAAUCUCAUCAGGAUCAGCGAUCUACACCAAUAAUAGAGCCUCUAGUUUGACUAACUUUAAUUUUAAAUUCUUUGUCCAUGAAUUUGUGCACCCCAAACAAGGAACUACCUGGACUCCAAAAUCAAUAUUUGCUCUCACUCUGCAUAAUCUAGACUGUUCUAAACAAAAGAUAUAGUUUAAAAAAUCUAUAAAUUCAUAGGCAGCAGGAUCAAUUAUACCCUAACAAAAAUGGGACAGCUUAUUCAAGAAUUCUUGAUAUUUAAUAGUUAUGCAUGACAGCCUUUUCAAUAAUUGAUCGAAUUAUUUGACUAUAUCCUCUACCUGAAUGGGUAAAAUCAUUCAUCGAAUAAGUACAAUGAGGUGGCUUGUCUUCAAAUGCUCAUGAUAUACAUACUUAAACAGCUGAAUUUUUUGCACUUCUUUUAUUUUAUUUGUAGUUAUAUAAAUAUUACAUGACAAGCACAUUAUUUGUUAUAAGUGCCUGAUGGAAAUAUUAUCCUAGACCAACAUAGAAGAAAAAAGAUUCAGACAUUUGCAGACCCAAUAGUAUCAGACAAGCUAUGUAGAACAGAUGAUUUUCUUAGAUACAUCUGAUGAGAAUUCAAAUCAAUCACCAUUAUCAGAGAAGUAACAACACAAAAAUCCAAUGCCUACCUCACUGUAUCUACAUCAGCAAAUAAAAAUUCUAAUCUUGCAUCCAUGUGAACCCAUUUUUCUCAUCGGUAUACUCACAAUCUAGCAUGAAAAUAUAUUGCCCAUAUAUGCUCGAGGUUACCAUCUCAAUCUACCAAAUCUAAAAGGUUCUACGAAUAUAUGCUCAACUAAAUCUCAAAUGUAAUUCAUUUCGAGAAAAUUUGCUAAAAAAGCACAGAAGUGAGAAGGAGUACCUCCAAGUUAAGCCGUAGGCAAGCAACACUCCUCCUUGGCUGUCGCCAUUCUUGAAGCCAUUCGAUGUUAUAGCUCUCAAUCGCUUACAAACUGGCUCACAUCCAUGCCUAAAAUCCCGCGUGCUGCUGAAAGCCCGAGACAACAUCAUGCGAGGCUGCAUUGAAUUAAUGGCAUCGGCGUAGAAUGCAGCGAAGGGUCUUCCCUUGGCAUUCCAUCCAAGAAGGUCACUUGAUCUUGCGACGCGGUUCAUCGGACCUCGCCGAUCACCAGAGGGAUGUCGUAGAAUCUUCUUCAAUCCGCUGUCUCCCACACUUCGAGGGCGCCUUCGCCGGAUUCCGGUGGAUCCCCGGCAACGUUCUCCUCGACGUUUGGAAGUGAGCUUGGUUGAAGAUGAGAUGAAGGCGAAUCCACACUAUUGUGCCGGCGAUGGUUUUCAUGGGAAGGUGGAAUCCACACCGAGGAAAUGCAUCUCAGAUUGGACACAAUAGAACUCCGGACCAGAAGCCGCGAAGGUGUUUGUGGAAAUGCGUGAAAGUGGCACAGGCGGGCCCCCUUGUUACGCACUAGAGAGACUUAAUAUAAG
rnacentral:lncRNA from 1 species